rnacentral:rRNA from 1 species
AGAAUCAACGCUGGCGGCGUGCCUAACACAUGCAAGUCGAACGCGAAAGUCCCGCAAGGGAUUAGUAGAGUGGCGAACGGGUGAGUAACACGUGGGUGACCUACCUUCGAAUGGGGGAUAACGUCCCGAAAGGGACGCUAAUACCGCAUAACAUCCUGCCUUUGAACAGGUGGAGAUCAAAGCCGGGGAUCGCAAGACCUGGCGUUUGUUGAGGGGCCCGCGUCUGAUUAGCUAGUUGGUGAGGUAACGGCUCACCAAGGCGACGAUCAGUA